rnacentral:rRNA from 1 species
UGUAACCUUAUCGGUUUAGAGGAAGGAGAAGUCGUAACAAGGUUUCCGUAGGUGAACCUGCGGAAGGAUCAUUG